AAGCGAUGGAAAGAUAUUUAUCUGUGAGAUAAACACAGCAAUUCCAUCUACAAGAUUUAUAAAGACAGCCAUCUGAGCUCAAGGUUCCCAAUAUCUGUGUCUUGAGGGGUUUAUGACGUCAUCGUCAGGUUAACUAGUUAACGCUGGUGGAGGCUCAUCAGUACCACCCCAGACCCGGGCUCCAGCUUUGCCGAGGGAGCAGAGGGGAGGCAGACAGCCUCCAUCCAGAAGACCUUCCUUUCCCGGGAGAGAAGAAUCCAGGACCUGAUUGCUGACACUCAGCCUGGAGUCUCCAUUACAUGCACUGAAUGAAAUAUCUGAUGGACUGAACUGUUUAAAUCCCCCUCCCUCUCUGUGGCCGAGCUCAUGCCUACAGUCGCCGGGGGAGGGAAGGUCUCUGACCACCAAGCAGCCCAGGUUGUGCAAAGCUUUGUGAAGAUUCAGCCAAACCAGCAACAGAGAGACGUUUCCAAAAUAAUCAGGAAGGCUUGAGAA
rnacentral:lncRNA from 1 species